rnacentral:rRNA from 1 species
UACGAAGGGUGCAAGCGUUACUCAGAAUUACUGGGCGUAAAGCGUGCGUAGGUGGUGAGUUAAGUCUGAUGUGAAAGCCCCGGGCUCAACCUGGGAAUUGCAUCUGAGACUGCUCUGCUCGGGUGCGGAAGAGGGAAGCGGAAUUUCCGGUGUAGCGGUGAAAUGCGUAGAUAUCGGAAGGAACACCAGUGGCGAAAGCGGCUUCCUGGUCCGACACCGACGUUCAGGCACGAAAGCGUGGGGAGCAAACAGG